GACCGCGCCGACGUGGGUGCUUCGUCGCUCGCGACGUCGUGAGAAGUUCACUGAACCUUAUCAUUUAGAGGAAGGAGAAGUCGUAACAAGGUUUCCGUAGGUGAACCUGCGGAAGGAUCAUUGUCGAAACUUUGCCCAGCAGAACGACCUGCGAACCAGUUGCCUGAAUACGUGGGGAUCGUGGGGGGCCUUGGCUCCUCCUCUCUCCCCGAACCAACAACUAAAAUGCCGGCGCGAGUUGCGCCAAGGAAUUCACAAACCAGAAGACCGCUGUCCCAGUCCCAAGAAGGGGGCUAUAUAGGAGGCAGCGGCCUUUCGUAUCGAACGAACGAAAACGACUCUCGGCAACGGAUAUCUUGGCUCUCGCAUCGAUGAAGAACGUAGCGAAAUGCGAUACUUGGUGUGAAUUGCAGAAUCCCGGGAACCAUCGAGUCUUUGAACGCAAGUUGCGCCCGAAGCCUUUUGGCCGGGGGCACGUCUGCCUGGGUGUCACGCACCGUCGCCCCAAACCACCCCCGUUUGCGGGAGUGCCGGGGCCGGAUGUUGGCCUCCCGUUAGCUACGGGUAGCGGUUGGCCCAAAUUCGUAGACUUUGGCGGCGUACGCCACGACGAUCGGUGGUUUUGGCCCUCGGACUCGGUCGUGCGCGAACUCCCCGUCACGGACCCAAAUGCGUUCCUUGCGAGCGCUGCUCGUGCGACCCCAGGUCAGGCGGGACUACCCGCUGAGUUUAAGCAUAUCAAUAAGCGCAAGGAAAAGAAACUUACCAGGAUUGGCC
rnacentral:rRNA from 1 species